rnacentral:rRNA from 1 species
GACGAACGCUGGCGGCGUGCUUAACACAUGCAAGUCGAACGGAAAGGCCCUGCUUGCAGGGUACUCGAGUGGCGAACGGGUGAGUAACACGUGGGUGAUCUGCCCUGCACUUCGGGAUAAGCCUGGGAAACUGGGUCUAAUACCGGAUAGGCGCCAUUUUUAGUGUGAUGGUUGGAAUGUUUUUUCGGUGUAGGAUGAGCUCGCGGCCUAUCAGCUUGUUGGUGGGGUAAUGGCCUACCAAGGCGGCGACGGGUAGGCGGCCUGAGAGGGUGGACGGCCACAAUGGGACGGAGAUACGGCCCAGACUCCUACGGGAGGCAGCAGGGGGGAAUAUUGCACAAUGGGCGCAAGCCUGAUGCAGCGACGCCGCGUGGGGGAUGACGGCCUUCGGGUUGUAAACUCCUUUCGCUAGGGACGAAGCUUUUUGUGACGGUACCUAGAUAAGAAGCACCGGCUAACUACGUG